AUGCUCCUCAGGGUUAAACUGUAAACCAGAAGCUUCACACCAGGGCGAGGUGUGUUUAAGUACUGGAGAGUCCGAAGGAUGUGGAAUUUAAAGCCAACAUAGCCAUCUUGAGUUUAACACUGAAUGACUGCUGUAAUAUCAAAGGGAACUUGUGUUGUGUGAUGCUCCACUGAUAGACUUGUGACAUGAGCCAAAGACUUCAUUCAAGAACACCCACAACAGCCUUUCAAGUACAACAGUGGAGUAGGCAGACAGCAUUAAAGGCUCAUCAACACCCGUCAAGAAAAGAAGCCAGUAUCCUAGAGACUUCUCAGAGGAAGCAUGUACACCAUGGGGGUGGACUAAUCGCGUCCAAGCAAAGAUCUUUCCAGAAAGCUGGAAGAAAAUAUAAAAGAGGAGAAGCGACAUGAUCACUUGGCUUCUCUCUCCUCCCUCCUCUCAACUCAACACCCGGAAGAAACGUCUGGAGGUCAAAGACUUUGA